AGCAUUGUUUUCGAAUUUUUUCAUGCAUCAAAGCUCGUUAAGACUAGAUGGUGUAUCCCUACAUAGCGGGUGGGACCCACGGCGAAUGGUUCAUCAAGUCUUCAAAAAAGAAUAUAUACGAUUGCAUUGCAUAUACUAACGGAUGCGAUCAUGCCAGCACUAAUGCACCGGAUCCCAUCAGAACUCCGCAGUUAAGCGUGCUUGGGCGAGAGUAGUACUAGGAUGGGUGACCUCCCGGGAAGUCCUCGUGUUGCAUCCCUCUUUAAUGUUUAACCUUUUUUUUUUUGGUUAAAACUUUAUGACUCAAUAACUUUUAAACCG
rnacentral:rRNA from 1 species